rnacentral:rRNA from 1 species
CGGCGGACGGGUGGAGGUAACACGUGGACAAGUCUGCCCCCCGGCCCGGGAUAGCCCAGGGAAACCUGGAUUAAUACCGGAUGAGACGGGACCCGCGAUGGCGGGACCCGGGAAAGGCGCUGACGGCGCCGCCGGGGGAUGAGUCUGCGUCCCAUUAGCUAGACGGCGGGGUAACGGCCCACCCGUGGCGACGAUGGGUAGCCGGCCUGAGAGGGUGGACGGCCACAUUGGAACUGAGACACGGUCCAGACUCCUACGGGAGGCAGCAGCUAAGAAUCUUCCGCAAUGGGCGAAAGCCUGACGGAGCGAACCGCCGCGUGAACGAAGAAGGCCGUGAGGUUGUAAAGUUCUUUUCGGGAGGGGGAACAACCGUGGCAGGGAAUGGCCGCGGGAUGACGUGAAUCCCGGAAUAAGCCCCCGGCUAACUACGUGCCAGCCGCGGC